ensembl:lncRNA
UGGGAUGCUUUUCCAACAGUCUUGAAGGAGUUCCCACGUUGGCUGCUUUUCCUUCACUCUGCAGUUCAACUCAUCCCAAACCAUCUCAAUUGGGUUGACGUUGGGUGAUUGUGGAGACUAGGUUAUCUGAUGCAGCACUCCAUCACUCUCCCUAUUGGUCAAAUUGCCCGUACACAUCCUGAAGAUGUGUUGGGUCAUUGUCCUGUUGAAAAACAAAUGAUAGUCCCACAAAGUGUAAACCAGAUGGGAUGGCGUAUCGCUGCAGAAUGCUGUGGUAGCCAUGCUGGUUAAGUGUACCUUGAAUCCUAAAUAAAUCACAGACAGUGUCACCAGCAAAGCACCCCCACACCAUCACAGCUCCUUCUCCAUGCUUCACGGUGGGAACCACACAUGCAGAGAUCAUCUGUUCACCUACUCUGCGUCUCACAAAGACAGCGUUUUUGCGACUGCUUUGAAACUUUCUAUGUUCUUGAAAUUUUCCGGAUUGACUGACCUUCAUGUCUUAAAUUAAUGAUGGACUGUAGUUUCUCUUUGCUUAUUUGAGCUGUUCUUGCCAUAAUAUGGACUUGGUCUUUUACCAAAUAGGGCUAUCUUCUGUAUACCAACCCUACCCUGUCACAACACAACUGAUUGGCUCAAACGCAUUAAGAAGGAAAGAAUUUCCACAAAUGUACUUUUAAUAAGGCACACCUGUUAAUUGAAAUGCACUCCAGGUGACUGCCUCAUGAAGCUGGUUGAGAGAAUGCCAAGAGUAUGCAAAGCUAUCAUCAAGGCAAAGGGUGGCUACUUUGAAGAAUCUUGAAUGUAAAAUAUAUUUUGAUUUUGUUUACCACUGUUUUGGUUACUACAUGAUUGGUUACUAUGUUAUUUUAUAAUUUUGAUGUCUAGACUAUUAUUGUACAAUGUAGAAAAUAGUAAAAAAUAAAAAACCUUGAAUGAGUAGGUGUCAACUUCUGACUGGUACUGUAUAUAUAUCAUUACAUGCUAAAUAUUAUGUUAAAUGUUUUGUUUUUUUGUUGCCCUGUGUGUGAACAAACCCUCACGCUUUGUGUGGUCACUGUUUUGCGUCUAUCUGAAACACUAUGAUGACUGUCUGGGGAGGAAGUGGAGACAUUCCUUAGGACUGUCAGGUAUCGGGCCUUCGUCCAGUCCGCCUCAUUGUUUUGAGAAAUUGUCAUAUAAGGAGGGUAUACAGUGGCCAGACAAUGACAGAAAAAUGUAAAUAUACCAACACCGCCCUCUCUCCUCUUACUUUGAUUUGCCAAGUCCCCUCCUCUCCCAUCCUGUCAGUCUCCUCCACCUGUCUCAUUCAUUUGUUACAUGGUCUGAUCCAUUUCCUCCCAGACCUCCCCUAUGCUAAAGACACUAGAGGCACCUACAGAUUACAGUUAUGUUUUAGUGUACAUAAAGGCCUUUUGGUAGAUGGAACCUGUUAACGUCACAUUUGAAAUGAUGCAGACUUAGUUCCCAGCACUGUGAUGCAUAAGUUCACAUUGUCACACUCGACAGAAAGCCGCAGCCUUAAUCCUUUGGUGUCUCCCCUAGUUUCCCUCCCACGUGGUCGUAGCAAACACAGUAAAUAUACAUACACGUUUUUAAGUUGACUGAAUUAAUUGUUUCUGUCAGCUACGUUUCAACUGGGAGCUCUAAGUUAGGUCUGGGUUGUAUUCAGUAGGGCACCAUGUUGAAAGUGUUUUAAAAAGUUAUGCAACAGAAAACGAUAUUGAAUGUUUCUUAUCGGACAAGUUUGGGUAGUACCAUCCCGUUACAAAACCUUUCCUCCCGACUGAACAUGACCACGUUAAUUUCCCUAGUGUCUCCCUUAGUGCCAAUCUAUCAUCCUCUCACCCAGUACCUACCCUCUGGGCACAGUUAUGACACAUCCAGCCACUGACGUGCCAGAUACACCGCAGUAUGCUAAACGUCCUCAUCAGAUGAUUACACUACAUUGCUAAAGGACUGUGUGGGUGAAAGGCACAUCGAUCAUAGUAACAUGGGAAGGUAUAUUGACCAAUCGUAGGCACAUGUGAGUGUUUUAGGCCAAUCAUCGUCAUUUGGGGAGGAUCUGUUUAUUUUGUCCUUUCUACCUCGUCUGAAUUGUUUUAAUUGAUGUUAAUUGUCUUUCCGAAAUAGGAAAAUAACAUGACCUGAAGUGCCAGGCGCAGUUCAUCUGUAUUUUUGUGGAAAUGUUGGUAGAUUUUAUUUCCUUUUUUUUUUUUUGCCAACCGAACAAUUAUAGUCCAAACACUCCUUACUCCCUCAACUAUACCCUGUGGUAUUAUUGUGUAAAUGUGCAUAGUUGCUCAACUUUCCCAACAGUGUAAGAACCUACGUUCCUUCCAAGUCCAUGUCUAUGAAGCUGCAAGACUUUUUAAUAAUGCUAAGAGUGAGAAUAUUAAUUACAAGCCCUGUGUAGAUGUUUUCUAUGUUAAAGUUUACAAAGACACUGCUCUAUUGAAGGCAGCACUGAGGGCAAUCUGCAUAACUUGUGUUGACUGCAGAAUCAUUGUAUUUACGAGACAAUGAACAGUUAAAAUGUGUCUGUAAAAGUUUGAAUGGUUUUAUGCUCUGUAUGUGAUAUAAACAGAGUUCAGUGACAGGAGGAUUAGUACGGCAAGAGGAUGAUUGAACUAUGACACACUACAGAAAGCACCAGGGUUGUGUUCAGUAGGGUACAAAGUAGCAAAAUGUUUUGCGAAGGGGAUAAAAAAAAUAGUUCUUACUGGUCAAGUUCAGGUAGUAGGCUACCUUCCAGUUUCACUGUUUUGUUUCCUCCCUACUGAACCAGACCACAACCAGACUCGUGUUGCCCAGGUUAAAUAAUAUUUCUAUAUGUUUUAAUGAAUUAGAAAUUAUGCAAUCUGUAUUUAGCAAUGACAGCGAUUUACACAAAUAAAUGAAUGACAAACUCAAACUGAAAAUAUGACAUUAAACUGCCUGACAGUUCUCCUAUUGCAUAACUUUGAAUUAUUUGUUUAAGUCAAUACUGCAGAUUGGAAAGGGUGCUGUGGACAUGUACCUGGCACCUCUCAUUUUCCCUUUCUAGUUUUCUUGAACUCUGUUGUCAAUACUGUUUGGAUUUCUUGAAAGGAAACAAAUAAUUGAUGUGCUUUCUGUUGGUCUUUGGCUUUUUAAUGUUGUCCUCUGGUAUGGCACUGAUGGGCUUGCCUUGAAGAGACUGUCUCCAUUUCAUAGAGGGCCAUGAUCAUAUGAUACCGUUUUGUCUAGUGGAGUAUAGGCCAGUCAGGUGAAGCAACUUUCGCCCUUGGACCAACGAAUACUUGGAUUUUAAAAUGGUGUCCUUUCACAAACAUUUUUCAACGUUGAAUCCCUUUUCUGCACCUUAUCUCUUAUAUUGCCUCUGUUACUGAUGAUUGUUUUUUAUGCCUCAUCAUCAUUCAUGCCAAACUGUUUUCAUUCUCCUGUAUUUUUGUAGGCAAUUCCACAGAAACUGAAUUACGCUGAGACUGGUUUUUAAAAAAUAAAGAAAAAUGUUAUGCCAAACAAAAAAAAAAAUAUUUUUAAGUUUAAUAACAAACCAUACAACUAUGCACAAUGACUAAUUUGAACAAUUUAAACAGUAAAUUACAAACAAAAAAAUAACAUUUACUGGAAAAACUAUGCACAGUUCUUCCUGUAAAUAUUUGUUGUAAAAAUGUAUAAGUAGUCAUUGUGCAUAGAGUUUGUAGGGUUAAACUUUGAAACUAACUUUUGUUUGGUAUACAUAUUUAAAGUGAAAUCUGAGCGUAAUUCCAUUACAUGAAAUUGCCCUAUCCCAAUUCCAAUUUUCCUUUCGUGCCAUCCCUUUUCUUUUGAAGAGGACAGGAGUGGGUGAAAAUAUAAAUAAUUGAUUUUAAGAUGUUCCAUUGUGAUAUAACACUAUUAUUUGAAGUUCACAUUUGACCUUUUAUUUUCUGUAGCAUGUAAUGUGUUAAUAUCCUUAGUAAAUAAAAACCUAUUACAAUUGUG